UGCCAGACUCCUACGGGAGGCAGCAGUCGGGAAUAUUGCGCAAUGGAGGAAACUCUGACGCAAUGACGCCGCGUAUAGGAAGAAGGUUUUCGGAUUGUAAACUAUUGUCGUUAGGGAAGAUAAAAGACAGUACCUAAGGAGGAAGCUCCGGCUAACUACGUGCCAGCAGCCGCGGUAAUACGUAGGGAGCAAGCGUUAUCCGGAUUUAUUGGGUGUAAAGGGAGCGUAGAUGGGUUGUUAAGUCAGUUGUGAAAGUUUGCGGCUCAACCGUAAAAUUGCAAUUGAUACUGGCAGUCUUGAGUACAGUUGAGGUAGGCGGAAUUCGUGGUGUAGCGGUGAAAUGCAUAGAUAUCGCGCAGAACUCCGAUUGCGAAGGCAGCAUGCCGGCUCCACACUGACGCUGAGGCACGAAAGCGUGGGUAUCGAACAGGAUUAGAUACCCGUGUAAA
rnacentral:rRNA from 1 species